CCUACUCCUAUUAAUAAUAAAAAAUAGGAAUAAUUAUUUAUAUAUCCUAAAAAUUCUAAAAUAUCUUAUAUAUUUUUAUUUUUUUAUUUAUUAUUUUAAAUAUAUUUAUCGUAUAUUUCUUCGUUAUUCUAAAAUAACUCUGCUGUUACUAUCUGUUAAGUCAUUUCGAGUUAAAUCUGAAUUAAGUUUCUAUCAGAAUUAAAAAAAAAGUCAAAAUUUGAAAAAAUGGUGAUGAUAGAAAGGACAUAUUUGAAAAGACAAAAUAGUAAUUUCGCAUAGAUAACAACUGCUCCUAAUAAUUCACGAAUUUAACUCUAGAAAUAUAUUUGAAAUAACUUGGAAUGCUAAAAAGAUAUUUUUAAUAUUAGUUUUCGAAAAGAGGUAAAUAAGAAAGUUGAAAACUUUUCAGAAAUAUAUAAGUUUUUACUCCUAAAUAAAUAAUAAGAAAAUAAAGAGCAUAAAAAAAUAAGAAAAAUAAAAAAUAAAAAGAU
rnacentral:lncRNA from 1 species